GACGAACGCUGGCGGCGUGCCUAAUACAUGCAAGUAGAACGCACAGUUUAUACCGUAGCUUGCUACACCAUAGACUGUGAGUUGCGAACGGGUGAGUAACGCGUAGGUAACCUGCCUGGUAGCGGGGGAUAACUAUUGGAAACGAUAGCUAAUACCGCAUAAUAUUGAUUAUUGCAUGAUAAUUAAUUGAAAGGUGCAAUUGCACCACUACCAGAUGGACCUUCGUUGUAUUAGCUAGUAGGUGAGGUAACGGCUCACCUAGGCGACGAUACAUAGCCGACCUGAGAGGGUGAUCGGCCACACUGGGACUGAGACACGGCCCAGACUCCUACGGGAGGCAGCAGUAGGGAAUCUUCGGCAAUGGACGAAAGUCUGACCGAGCAACGCCGCGUGAGUGAAGAAGGUUUUCGGAUCGUAAAGCUCUGUUGUAAGAGAAGAACGGGUGUGAGAGUGGAAAGUUCACACUGUGACGGUAUCUUACCAGAAAGGGACGGCUAACUACGUG
rnacentral:rRNA from 1 species